rnacentral:sRNA from 1 species
AGCUUGCGAUGUGUGACGUACAACAAUGAAUCUCAAUCAGUAAUUAUACUUGGAUAUCUUUAAAGCCUCCUCUGAUCUUAAAAUGCCCUGUGUGAUGCAAUUGGACAAAUAUCCCUUUCUUUCUAACAUUGCUAUCUCUCAUGUGAUUUUCUUGAGAGUGCUGGAGCUACCUGUGGUGUUGGAAUUCCAUCCCCCUUCUAAAUACCUCUGAGAGACAGGUGAUAAUUUGAGCUAGAAGAACAAAACAUGCUGGUCAUUGGACUGGCAGCGGAAUCCCUUCAUGUGCACAAGGGAAAAACACGCCUAUGUGGAAUAUAUCGGCCUAUUAUAAGAUAAUCCAGCCUAGG